rnacentral:rRNA from 1 species
UGAGCAAUCUGCCCUUCUCAUCGGAAUAAGCGUUGGAAACGACGUCUAAUGCCGAAUACGACCUCCUUUCGCAUGAUCGGAGGUGGAAAGCUCCGGCGGAGAAGGAUGAGCUCGCGGCCUAUCAGCUAGUUGGUGUGGGUAAUGGCCCACCAAGGCGACGACGGGUAGCCGGCCUGAGAGGGUGACUGGCCACACUGGGACUGAGACACGGCCCAGACCUCUACGGGAGG